rnacentral:rRNA from 1 species
UGUGUUAGUGGAAGCGUCUGGAAAGGCGCGCGAUACAGGGUGACAGCCCCGUACACAAAAAUGCACAUGCUGUGAGCUCGAUGAGUAGGGCGGGACACGUGGUAUCCUGUCUGAAUAUGGGGGGACCAUCCUCCAAGGCUAAAUACUCCUGACUGACCGAUAGUGAACCAGUACCGUGAGGGAAAGGCGAAAAGAACCCCGGCGAGGGGAGUGAAAAAGAACCUGAAACCGUGUACGUACAAGCAGUGGGAGCACGCUUAGGCGUGUGACUGCGUACCUUUUGUAUAAUGGGUCAGCGACUUAUAUUCUGUAGCAAGGUUAACCGAAUAGGGGAGCCGAAGGGAAACCGAGUCUUAACUGGGCGUUAAGUUGCAGGGUAUAGACCCGAAACCCGGUGAUCUAGCCAUGGGCAGGUUGAAGGUUGGGUAACACUAACUGGAGGACCGAACCGACUAAUGUUGAAAAAUUAGCGGAUGACUUGUGGCUGGGGGUGAAAGGCCAAUCAAACCGGGAGAUAGCUGGUUCUCCCCGAAAGCUAUUUAGGUAGCGCCUCGUGAAUUCAUCUCCGGGGGUAGAGCACUGUUUCGGCAAGGGGGUCAUCCCGACUUACCAACCCGAUGCAAACUGCGAAUACCGGAGAAUGUUAUCACGGGAGACACACGGCGGGUGCUAACGUCCGUCGUGAAGAGGGAAACAACCCAGACCGCCAGCUAAGGUCCCAAAGUCAUGGUUAAGUGGGAAACGAUGUGGGAAGGCCCAGACAGCCAGGAUGUUGGCUUAGAAGCAGCCAUCAUUUAAAGAAAGCGUAAUAGCUCACUGGUCGAGUCGGCCUGCGCGGAAGAUGUAACGGGGCUAAACCAUGCACCGAAGCUGCGGCAGCGACGCUGAUGCGUUGUUGGGUAGGGGAGCGUUCUGUAAGCCUGUGAAGGUGUGCUGUGAGGCAUGCUGGAGGUAUCAGAAGUGCGAAUGCUGACAUAAGUAACGAUAAAGCGGGUGAAAAGCCCGCUCGCCGGAAGACCAAGGGUUCCUGUCCAACGUUAAUCGGGGCAGGGUGAGUCGACCCCUAAGGCGAGGCCGAAAGGCGUAGUCGAUGGGAAACAGGUUAAUAUUCCUGUACUUGGUGUUACUGCGAAGGGGGGACGGAGAAGGCUAUGUUGGCCGGGCGACGGUUGUCCCGGUUUAAGCGUGUAGGCUGGUUUUCCAGGCAAAUCCGGAAAAUCAAGGCUGAGGCGUGAUGACGAGGCACUACGGUGCUGAAGCAACAAAUGCCCUGCUUCCAGGAAAAGCCUCUAAGCAUCAGGUAACAUCAAAUCGUACCCCAAACCGACACAGGUGGUCAGGUAGAGAAUACCAAGGCGCUUGAGAGAACUCGGGUGAAGGAACUAGGCAAAAUGGUGCCGUAACUUCGGGAGAAGGCACGCUGAUAUGUAGGUGAAGUCCCUCGCGGAUGGAGCUGAAAUCAGUCGAAGAUACCAGCUGGCUGCAACUGUUUAUUAAAAACACAGCACUGUGCAAACACGAAAGUGGACGUAUACGGUGUGACGCCUGCCCGGUGCCGGAAGGUUAAUUGAUGGGGUCAGCGCAAGCGAAGCUCUUGAUCGAAGCCCCGGUAAACGGCGGCCGUAACUAUAACGGUCCUAAGGUAGCGAAAUUCCUUGUCGGGUAAGUUCCGACCUGCACGAAUGGCGUAAUGAUGGCCAGGCUGUCUCCACCCGAGACUCAGUGAAAUUGAACUCGCUGUGAAGAUGCAGUGUACCCGCGGCAAGACGGAAAGACCCCGUGAACCUUUACUAUAGCUUGACACUGAACAUUGAGCCUUGAUGUGUAGGAUAGGUGGGAGGCUUUGAAGUGUGGACGCCAGUCUGCAUGGAGCCGGCCUUGAAAUACCACCCUUUAAUGUUUGAUGUUCUAACGUUGACCCGUGAUCCGGGUUGCGGACAGUGUCUGGUGGGUAGUUUGACUGGGGCGGUCUCCUCCUAAAGAGUAACGGAGGAGCACGAAGGUUGGCUAAUCCUGGUCGGACAUCAGGAGGUUAGUGCAAUGGCAUAAGCCAGCUUGACUGCGAGCGUGACGGCGCGAGCAGGUGCGAAAGCAGGUCAUAGUGAUCCGGUGGUUCUGAAUGGAAGGGCCAUCGCUCAACGGAUAAAAGGUACUCCGGGGAUAACAGGCUGAUACCGCCCAAGAGUUCAUAUCGACGGCGGUGUUUGGCACCUCGAUGUCGGCUCAUCACAUCCUGGGGCUGAAGUAGGUCCCAAGGGUAUGGCUGUUCGCCAUUUAAAGUGGUACGCGAGCUGGGUUUAGAACGUCGUGAGACAGUUCGGUCCCUAUCUGCCGUGGGCGCUGGAGAACUGAGGGGGGCUGCUCCUAGUACGAGAGGACCGGAGUGGACGCAUCACUGGUGUUCGGGUUGUCAUGCCAAUGGCACUGCCCGGUAGCUAAAUGCGGAAGAGAUAAGUGCUGAAAGCAUCUAAGCACGAAACUUGCCCCGAGAUGAGUUCUCCCUGACUCCUUGAGAGUCCUGAAGGAACGUUGAAGACGACGACGUUGAUAGGCCGGGUGUGUAAGCGCAGCGAUGCGUUGAGCUAACCGGUACUAAUGAACCGUGAGG